rnacentral:misc_RNA from 1 species
GAUGAAGAACGUAGCGAAAUGCGAUAAGUAGUGUGAAUUGCAGAAUUCAGUGAAUCAUCGAAUCUUUGAACGCACAUUGCGCCCCUUGGUAUUCCAUGGGGCAUGCCUGUUCGAGCGUCAUUUGUACCUUCAAGCUUUGCUUGGUGUUGGGUGUUUGUCUCGCCUUUGCGUGUAGACUCGCCUUAAAAUAAUUGGCAGCCGGCGUAUUGAUUUCGGAGCGCAGUACAUCUCGCGCUUUGCACUCAUAACGACAGCGUCCAAAAGUACAUUUUACACUCUUGACCUCGGAUCAGGUAGGGAUACCCGCUGAACUUAAGAAUAUCAAUAAGCGGAGGA